rnacentral:rRNA from 1 species
AACGAACGCUGGUGGCAGGCUUAACACAUGCAAGUCGAGCGCCCCGCAAGGGGAGCGGCAGACGGGUGAGUAACGCGUGGGAAUCUACCUUUUGCUACGGAAUAACGCAGGGAAACUUGUGCUAAUACCGUAUGUGUCCUUCGGGAGAAAGAUUUAUCGGCAAGAGAUGAGCCCGCGUUGGAUUAGCUAGUUGGUGGGGUAAAGGCCUACCAAGGCGACGAUCCAUAGCUGGUCUGAGAGGAUGAUCAGCCACAUUGGGACUGAGACACGGCCCAAACUCCUACGGGAGGCAGCAGUGGGGAAUAUUGGACAAUGGGCGCAAGCCUGAUCCAGCCAAGCCGCGUGAGUGAUGAAGGCCCUAGGGUUGUAAAGCUCUUUCACCGGAGAAGAUAANGACGGNNUCCG